CCUACGGGUGGCAGCAGUGAGGAAUAUUGGUCAAUGGGAGAGAUCCUGAACCAGCCAAGCCGCGUGAGGGAAGACGGCCCUAUGGGUUGUAAACCUCUUUUGUCGGAGAACAAAACCCGGGACGUGUCCCGGACUGCGUGUAUCCGAAGAAAAAGCAUCGGCUAACUCCGUGCCAGCAGCCGCGGUAAUACGUAGGUGGCAAGCGUUGUCCGGAUUUACUGGGUGUAAAGGGCGUGUAGCCGGGUUGACAAGUCAGAUGUGAAAUCCUGCGGCUUAACCGCAGAACUGCAUUUGAAACUGUUGAUCUUGAGUACUGGAGAGGCAGACGGAAUUCCUAGUGUAGCGGUGAAAUGCGUAGUUAUUAGGAGGAACACCAGUGGCGAAGGCGGUCUGCUGGACAGCAACUGACGGUGAGGCGCGAAAGCGUGGGGAGCAAACAGGAUUAGAUACCCGUGUAGUC
rnacentral:rRNA from 1 species